rnacentral:rRNA from 1 species
GUGUCAGCAGCCGCGGUAAUACGGAGGGUGCAAGCAUUAAUCGGAUUUAUUGGGCGUAAAGGGCGCGUAGGCUGGUUUGUAAGUCAGAUGUGAAAUCCCGGGGCUCAACCUCGGAACAGCAUUUGAAACUGCAUACCUAGAGGGUAGGCGGAGAAAACGGAAUUCCACAAGUAGCGGUGAAAUGCGUAGAUAUGUGGAAGAACACCGGUGGCGAAGGCGGUUUUCUAGCUUACUCCUGACGCUGAGGCGCGAAAGCAAGGGGAUCAAACAGGAUUAGAAACCCGAGUAGUCC